UAGAAUUUGGAAGAAAAAAAAAUCUGUUUAGUAAAUCAGACUUUGAUAUGAACAAUAGUUUCUACAUUAAUCGUCCUAUAGAUACCUAGAUACAGGUACUUUAGAAGAAGACGCUUGUUGGCACAAAUGAAUUGAUGAGUUUCAGAGACAAUGAGGUAAAUAUACCUUUGUGUGAAGGCUUCCUGAUGCUCCUUAAAUCACACUUGGGGAGAGGUGUCAUCUUUCUACUCAUAAGUAAAAGUAACCCUGAGAUGACUGAGAAAGGGAGUUUUUGUAAUCAUCCAGUACUGUCUCUUGCUUGAAGUAAAUUCUGCUCUCUUUUUUUUUUUUCCAUCUGUCACCUCCAUUAGCAAAGUUCUCUCCACAGUGAAUGUUGACUACCCCCAACAAGGACCAGUGCCCUUGGAAUACCUAUUAUGUGCAGCUAGCUAAUUCCAGAUGUGGCCCUGGGAAGCCUGUUGACAUCUCCUGGGAGCCAAGCUACCCUCAGUCAGGUGGAAUUGACUGAUUCCCAGAUAUGGAUGGAAUGAAUAUGAUUAUCUGAAUUUUCAGGCAAUAAACAGGCUAUAGUAAAGUUAAAGAGAAAAGCUUGUAAGGUGAGAGAAUGUGUUCACUUUUUUCUUCACCCUGAUGACAACAGCUUAGUCACUAACCCAGGAGGAGUUGGAGGGCAUGAGAGUGAGCCUGCUCUGAUUCACUCUAUUCUUAGACUGCUUCAGACUCAUUUGCUGAAAGACACAAGCUACCUUUAAUCUCAUGGUAACUUAUAGUGUCAUAUGACUGCAAAUUUGGAACAAAAGACAAAUCAACAGAAAAUCAGAAUUAGAUCAUCAAGACACUAGGUAAUACAUGCCCAGAUUCUCUCAAAUAAAAUAAAAACAUUCUCUGACUCUUCCUUCUAUUAGUCCAUAGCUAGUUAGAUCAAUGAAUGACUUAUGUAAAGGUUAUUAUUAGAAAAAUUAUUCCUCAUAAUUUUUUUUGCAAUUGCUUCCCAUUAAUCUAUGCCUAUGUCAUAUUAUGAUCCAAUAUGUACCAAGGCUUUGAAGUAUGAAAAAAGAAUCAAAAAUAUCCUUUCCCCUUUUGUCUACUCUUUCUUCUCUACCUCUUCUCCAUCCUCAGUAUCAUUCAUAUAAUCACAUUUUUCAUUUCUUCUCCCGAUCACAUCUUUUCCCAAAUCUCCUUUAUUUCUAGUGCUUUCCCUCUGUUAAUUUCCAAUUUAUCCGGUAUAUAUGUUUAUACAGAGUUGUAUGCAUGUUCUCUUCUUCUAUAUAUUGUUAUCUCUUUGAGAGCUGGGUUUUGUUUUUUGUUUGUUUGUUUGUUUGUUUUUGGUUUUUUUGCCUUUCAUUGUCUCUACCACUUAGCAAUGUCUGGGACAUAGCAGACCCUUAAUAAAUGUGUUGAGUUGACCAAAUCUGACAAUACUUAGCCUGGCAACAGUAUAAACCUUUUCUAAUUUGUGUCUCAAAACUCUACCACUUCCUAAGUCAGAACCCAGAUUUUAUUGAUAAUGGACUUGAUAACUAAUGAAGACAAGAAAGCAAGAAAAAUUAUGAAAAUCAUUCUAAAGCAGUUUUCAUAAGAAAUUAGAGUAAAUACCUUCUAAAUAACUAAAAUACUCUUUCUCUAAACUAUUACUCAUUUUUCAUUUCAAGCUCAUAUACUGUACUUAAAAAAAUACAAAUGACUUUCUGUCCUACCUCUUUCUUUCUACCUCUUCAGUGAUGAUGAUAAAGUAACAGAAAGUAGGACAGAGAGCACUAAGAAUCACACAAGUUUUAAAUGUUCUAAUAACAUGAAUCUGCUAGUCCUAUAAAUCUAAGAUGUUUGUCCAGUGACCACAGAGAAGAUAUAUCAGAGGAGCUGAAUGAUAUGUUUUGACAUUCUAGAAGACAAAAAAUAAUUUUGCAACUCAAUAAAAAGAUUCUUAAAUUAACAAGAAACUUAAUUUCAUGGAGCACUUGGUCAUGUGUGUAUAUCACAAUAUGCAAAAGUAGAGAACAUGCACACAACUCUGUAUAAACCUAUAUAUACAUCACAAAUUGGAAAUUAAUAGAGGAAACAUUUGUGAAAAAUCUUCAUGUAGGUGAUCCAUUGAUCUAACUAUGUGCUUGUGGAAGAAAGAAGCAGAGAAUAUUUUUUAUUUUAUUUUAUUUUAAGAGGUACCCUGAAAAUAAGUGCAGUUUAUGCACCAAUAUCUGUUUCAGGGGUUGAAGCAGGGGACAAUUUCAAUGAAAAAAACAAUAAAAAACUUCCCCUUCCCAUAUUAAAGCAACAUGUGCUUCAAUACUUAGUAUCAUAAAUGUAAAAGAGGAUAUAAGAAUAGAGAGCAAAAGAUACUGGAAAUUGUAAUUCAGAAGUAAGAAGGGAAAGAAGUCAGUGGCUUAAAAACUAUACAGAAGUCUCUCAUCUAUACAUCAUCAAUACUUUCCUCAUAAAGAUAAUGACAAGGUUACUAGUAAUAUCACUAAAAUGAAACCAUUCAUAUUCCAAAUAGACUGGUUAUCAAUAUGGGACUCAUUCCUAACUCAGUCUUUUGUUCAAUCAGACUUGUUAGAGCAAAGAUCAAAAAUCAACUCCAGAAUAAGGUUUCUGGAAACUUUAAAAAAAGGUUUCUGAAAACCUGGAAAAAGGAAAAGCUUUGUUAUGCAACUGAAACACUCCUAAACUGGCCCAUUUAAACAGGCUUUGGACAUUCCACAAUGGGAAAUAGGUACAAGAAGACAUAUUAAUAUAGACUACCACUGUUUUUUAAGGAAGAUUAACUGAUGUGAAUCAGUCAUCACAGUACAGAGACCAAAAGAAGCUAAAAGCCCUCUAAGUAAGCAAACACUUGAUCUUGCUAAGUGGAGAGAUAUAGCAGCAAAGGAUAAACCAUUUUAGAAUAUUAACUCCUUUGUAAAAAAAAAAAAAUUACUGAAGAGUCUUAUGAAAGCUUAUGAACAAUACUGACUUAUAAAAAUCAUUAAAAUGAAAACCCAGUUUACAAAAAAUAUAUUGAGAGAACCAAUUACCUCAAGAGAAUAUGAUGAUGAAACUCAAAGAAGUACAGAAAAGAAAUGAACAAUGAAAAAGAUUUCCAUAGCAAACUUUCCCCCUCUACUGACUAAAGUACCACAUUGAGACACUAACAUUUCCCAAAUAUGUUGAAAGGAAAAGUAAUACUAAUACUAAAUAAAACAGCAAAAGAUAACAUAAUAGACCAAAUAUCCCCAGGUAUAUCUCCCAAUGAAAGUGAUGAUUUUGAGUGUGUUAUGGAAUUCAUUUUCAGUCUAUUAAAAUAGGGGAUAUAUAACUCUUAGAGGGGGUAUGUGGAUCAAGGGUAGCAUUGCCCUAAAAAGGUGGUCAAAAACCACGAUUAACUAUUGAAUCAUUUGCCAACUUUCCCAUUUUUUAUCCCAAAGAGAUUAUAAAGAAGGGAAAGGGACCUGUAUGUGCACGAAUGUUUGUGGCAGCCCUUUUUGUAGUGGCUAGAAACUGG
rnacentral:lncRNA from 1 species